CCCACAUCUCCAUCCUGGGACCCAAUGGGGACGCCAUCGCUGUCACCUCCACCAUCAACUCUUACUUCGGGGCAGUGAUGAUGGCCUCCGCCGGCAUCAUCUACAACAACGAGAUGGACGACUUCUCCUCCCCCAACAUCACCAACGACUUCGGCCUGCCGCCAUCACCUGCUAACUUCAUCGUACCUGGCAAGCGGCCAAUGUCUUCGAUGUGCCCAGCGAUAGUGACAGAUGGUGCAGGGAUGGUGA
rnacentral:lncRNA from 1 species